AGAGCUCCUGGGAGCAGUGAGAGCUGAGUUCCUCCAUCUGCACUGCUCUGGAAGGGUGUGAGCAUCCCUGUUGCUGUUGAAGAAGAGCAAUGCUGACUGAGAAGCAGCUCAGGAUGGUCUACAAUUCUAAGAGUGCCACUUCAUUGUGCUGCAGUGUCCCAGCAGCGUGGUGACGGGUGCAUGGCAGCCUAGAGGACGAAGCAAGGAGCCCUGAUGGAUUUUUCCCAGAACAGGAAGGAUUUCAGAAGAAAGCAGCAGUGCUGGCAGGGAUCUGCAUGUUGAAGUUGAAGGAAGCAGGGAGAGCCCAAGGCAGUGAGCACCAACACAGGAUGGAGCCUGGUAGGUGGUGAGGUGUGGGCUUCCAGUUGUGGAAACCAAAGCUGUCAUGCAUCAGCCCUGCUCCUCCAGCCUGCACUGAUGAUUAAGGCCAGGAGGGGCACACCUCUAUUAAUGAAGAG
rnacentral:lncRNA from 1 species